rnacentral:rRNA from 1 species
AAAUGAAUAGACGGGGACCCGCACAAGCGGUGGAACAUGUGGUUUAAUUCGAAGCAACGCGAAGAACCUUACCAGGGCUUGACAUCUGAGGAACCUGCGUGAAAGCGUGGGGUGCAGCUUGCUGAGCCUCAAGACAGGUGGUGCACGGUUGUCGUCAGCUCGUGUCGUGAGAUGUUGGGUUAAGUCCCGCAACGAGCGCAACCCUCGUCGUUAGUUGGUCAUAGCGGUAUACUGCUAUGUAUCUCUCUGGCGAGACUGCCGGUGAUAAACCGGAGGAAGGUGGGGACGACGUCAAAUCAUCAUGCCCCUUAUGCUCUGGGCUACACACGUGUUACAAUGGCCGGUACAACGAGUCGCCAGCUCGCAAGAGUGAGCAAAUCUCUUAAAACCGGUCUCAGUUCGGAUUGGACUCUGCAACUCGAGUCCAUGAAGUCGGAAUCGCUAGUAAACGCAGAUCAGCACGCUGCGUUGAAUACGUUCCCGGGUCUUGUACACACCGCCCGU